UAGGGAGGAGGCAAGCGUUAUCCGGAAUUAUUGGGCGUAUAGCGUCCGUAGGUGGUUCACCAAGUCUGCUGUCAAAGGGUGGGGCUUAACCUCAUAAAGGCAGUGGAAACUGGUGAGCUAGAGUGCGGUAGGGGUAAGGGGAAUUCCCAGUGUAGCGGUGAAAUGCGUAGAGAUUGGGAAGAACAUCGGUGGCGAAAGCGCCUUACUGGGCCUGCACUGACACUGAGGGACGAAAGCUAGGGGAGCGAAAGGG
rnacentral:rRNA from 1 species